rnacentral:rRNA from 1 species
CCUACGGGAGGCAGCAGUGGGGAAUAUUGGGCAAUGGGCGCAAGCCUGACGCAGCAAUGCCGCGUGAGGGAAGAAGGCUUUCGGGUUGUAAACUUCUUUGACAGGGGAAGAGCAGAAGACGGUACCCUGAAAACAAGCCACGGCUAACUACGUGCCAGCAGCCGCGGUAAUACGUAGGUUGCAAGCGUUGUUCGGAAUUACUGGGAGUAAAGGGCGUGUAGCCGGGAAGGCAAGUCGGAUGUGAAAUCCGGAGGCUCAACCUGCGAAUUGCAUUUGAAACUGUUUUUCUUGAGUACUGGAGAGGCGGACGGAAUUCCAGGUGUAGCGGUGAAAUGCGUAGAGAUAAGGAGGAAUACCAGUGGCGAAGGCGGUCUGCUGGACAGCAACUGACGGUGAGGCGCGAAAGCGUGGGGAGCAAACAGGAUUAGAUACCCUGGUAGUC